AACGCGUAAGCAAUCUGCCUAUUAGAGGGGAAUAGCAGUGAGAAAUCACUGCUAAUACCGCAUACUAAUAGAUGAGCUUGCGUCUGAUUAACUAGUUGGUGUGGUAAUGGCAUACCAAGGUAACGAUCAGUAGCCGGACUGAAGGUUGAACGGCCACAUUGGGACUGAGAUACGGCCCAGACUCCUACGGGAGGCAGCAGUCGGGAAUAUUGCGCAAUGGAGGAAACUCUGACGCAGUGACGCCGCGUAUAGGAUGAAGGUGUUCGGAUUGUAAACUAUUGCAUUAGGGAAGACAGUACCUAAGGAGGAAGCUCCGGCUAACUACGUGCCAGCAGCCGCGGUAAUACGUAGGGAGCAAGCGUUAUCCGGAUUUAUUGGGUGUAAAGGGUGCGUAGACGGGAAAUUAAGUUAGUUGUGAAAGCCCUCGGCUUAACUGAGGAAUUGCAACUAAAACUGGUUUUCUUGAGUGCAGGAGAGGUAAGUGGAAUUCCUAGUGUAGCGGUGAAAUGCGUAGAUAUUAGGAGGAACACCAGUGGCGAAGCGACUUACUGGACUGUAACUGACGUUGAGGCACGAAGUGUGGGGAGCAAAC
rnacentral:rRNA from 1 species